AUGCUCAUUCAGCAGCACAUAUACUAUAAUCAGAAUGAUACAAAGAUUAGCAUGGCCCUGCACAAGGAUGACAUGUAGAUUUGCGAAGCGAUCCAUAUUAAA
ensembl:snRNA U6 U6 spliceosomal RNA